UACGUAGGGCGCAAGCGUUGUCCGGAAUUAUUGGGCGUAAAGAGCUCGUAGGCGGUUUGUCACGUCGGAUGUGAAAGCCCGGGGCUUAACCCCGGGUCUGCAUUCGAUACGGGCAGACUAGAGUGUGGUAGGGGAGAUCGGAAUUCCUGGUGUAGCGGUGAAAUGCGCAGAUAUCAGGAGGAACACCGGUGGCGAAGGCGGAUCUCUGGGCCAUUACUGACGCUGAGGAGCGAAAGCAUGGGGAGCGAACAGG
rnacentral:rRNA from 1 species